UUUUUCCCUGCUGUUUGUGCUCCUGCUCCCUGCAGCGCCCUUUCCGCAGGGCCCUGAGGCUGCGCCCUGCCGCCUCCAUCUUCUCGCCCUGUCGCCUCCGGGAGCGCGGCGCUGGUGCGGGGAUGUGUCCGGACUUUGAGGGGACAGGGCACGAGUGAGGAAAGGAAGGACACGUGUAUUUUUGCUUUUCAGCAGCUGCUGCUGGAGUUGUUUCGUGUGAUGCUCCCGAGACCCUCGGUGCGUGAUUCAAAAGGAAAGCAGCAGCACAAGGCUGCAGUCAAUGUCAUUGCUAAAUUUUUAAUCCAGAAGAAGGGAGCCUUCCUUCUAGCCAGCAAAAAGGAGGAGGCAGAUGGGGUCACUAUUCCCAUCAGAAAGCAGAGGUAAGUGUCAAAAAGAUCUGAGGAGACAGAUGCUGUGAAAUCUACUGUUUGUGGAUUGAGACUUUGUCUCUGGAUUGACCUUUGGCUGUAGUAAGGCAUGGUAACCACUGUGGAACACCUCGCUUGUAACUUGUGACAUACUUUGUAAAAAUGGCUGUGGAGUACUGAUCAUGGUAAAUUGAGCUUCACUAGGGUGAAAUCUGUGGUUAAUUUGUGCUGUUUUUACUAAGAGCCAUGCUAAGAGAGGCAUCUUCUCAUACAACAGAUUAAAUGAAAAAAAAAAUGAAAGUGUUUAUAGGAGACCUGUUCUCUCUUGCCUUCUUUUUCUUAGUAUGACUGUGCACACAUUUCCUGUAAUAAAACCAAUACACAG